ACGAACUUCCGUUCUGGGCGGUUAACAUCCGCCUGUCCGGGCUACCUCAAGCAGCAAGAACUUCACCCCUGGGUCCAUCACUUCCUGGUUGGGAGACAUUUAAAAUGAAGGUUUAAGAGCUAAACCUAGGCUUUCCUAGGUUACGUCUUUUUACAAGUUAGGAAAUAGCGACCUUCACAUGAGAACAAUAAUAUAGAAUCUUUAGAAGUUGGGUUCCAAAUGGGGAAAAAAUAAGAACCAAGAUACAUCGUGUAAAGAUUCCCCUGAGAGAAUCACGUGCUGGAACUGAGAGGGAUGAGAUUGAAGGGAAGAAAUCUGCACAGACUCAAAGCCUCAUCUGGGUAUGAACAGUGGGAAGUGGAAUUUGCCUGACUCCUUUAGCUCUCUUCUAUGCGCUCCUGACUCCAACAGUGUUCCCAACUACCAGGACUUGCAGCUUAUUGAUCCAAGCAUGUUUCUGCUGUUUCUAAUUCUACCAGUGCUCUUGUUCUCUCUUUAACCAGCUUACAUUCAUUGCUAAUCUUUAUCACCAUUCCUUGGCAAUAUUUGAA